rnacentral:rRNA from 1 species
GUGAACGCUGGCGGUAGGCCUAACACAUGCAAGUCGCACGGCAGCACAGUAAGAGCUUGCUCUUACGGGUGGCGAGUGGCGGACGGGUGAGGAAUACAUCGGAAUCUACUUUUUCGUGGGGGAUAACGUAGGGAAACUUACGCUAAUACCGCAUACGACCUACGGGUGAAAGCAGGGGAUCUUCGGACCUUGCGCGAUUGAAUGAGCCGAUGUCGGAUUAGCUAGUUGGCGGGGUAAAGGCCCACCAAGGCGACGAUCCGUAGCUGGUCUGAGAGGAUGAUCAGCCACACUGGAACUGAGACACGGUCCAGACUCCUACGGGAGGCAGCAGUGGGGAAUAUUGGACAAUGGGCGCAAGCCUGAUCCAGCCAUACCGCGUGGGUGAAGAAGGCCUUCGGGUUGUAAAGCCCUUUUGUUGGGAAAGAAAAGCAGCAGGUUAAUACCCCGCUGUUCUGACGGGACCCAAAGAAUAAGCACCGGCUAACUUCGU